UACAGAGGUGGCAAGCGUUGUUCGGAAUUACUGGGCGUAAAGGGCGCGUAGGCGGUCCGAUAAGUCCCGUGUGAAAUCCCUCGGCUCAACUGAGGAAUGGCACGGGAAACUGCCGGGCUUGAGUUCGGGAGAGGGAAGCGGAAUUCCGGGUGUAGCGGUGAAAUGCGUAGAUAUCUGGAGGAACACCGGUGGCGAAGGCGGCAUCCUGGACCGGCAUUGACGCUGAGGCGCGAAAGCCAGGGGAGCAAACGGG
rnacentral:rRNA from 1 species